rnacentral:rRNA from 2 species
AUAAAUUUUAUUAUAAAUAAUUGUAAUUUUUUAUUUUUAGUAUAGUAUAUAGAAUAAAUAUAGUUUAUUAUAGAAAAUUAGUAUUGUAAAAGAAUACUGAAAUAAAAUGAAAAAUUUUUAUUUUAAAAGAAAAUAUAAUUUAUUGUACCUUGUGUAUCAGGGUUUAUUAAUUAUAAAAUUUAAAUUAAUUUUUCUCGAUUUUAAAAGAUUUAAUAGAUUAUAAAAGUUAAUGUGAUAAUAUUAUUUUAAAUAAUUUAUUAGAAAUGAAAUGUUAUUCGUUUUUAAAGGUAUCUAGUUUUUUAAGAAAUAAAUUUAAUUUAGAAAGUUUUUAUAUAAUUAAUUUAUUAAAAAAUUAAUUUUUAAUUAUUUUUAAUAUUUUAUGGGAUAAGCUAUAAAAUAAAUUAUUAUAAAUGAUAAAUAAAAUUUUAAAAAUAUAUGUUUAGAAUUAGCAAAUGUUAUUAAAUAUGUUAUAAUUUAUUUUUGUAAAUUAAAUUAUUUAUUAAUUUUUAAUUUUUUAUUAAAAAAUUUAUUUAAAUUAAAUAAAUAAAUUAAUAAUGAUAAAAUUAGUAUAUAAAUAUUGUUAAAAUAAAUUUUUAGGAAAAGUUUAAAUAAAGAACUCGGCAAAAUAAUGUUCGCCUGUUUAACAAAAACAUGUCUUUUUGUAUUUAAAUAAAAAGUCUAACCUGCCCACUGAAAUUUAAAUGGCCGCAGUAUAUUGACUGUGCAAAGGUAGCAUAAUCAUUAGUCUUUUAAUUGAAGGCUUGUAUGAAUGGUUGGACGAGAUAUUAACUGUUUCAUUUAAAAUUAUUAUAGAAUUUUAUUUUUUAGUAAAAAAGCUGAAAUUUUAUUAAAAGACGAGAAGACCCUAUAAAUCUUUAUAUUUAGUUUAUUUUUAUUUUAUAGAUUUGAUUUAUAUAAUUAAAUUUAAAUAUUUUAUUGGGGUGAUAUUAAAAUUUAAUAAACUUUUAAUUUUUUUUUCCAUUGAUGAAUGAAUUUAUGAUCCAUUAUUUAUGAUUAAAAAUUUAAGUUACUUUAGGGAUAACAGCGUAAUUUUUUUGGAGAGUUCAUAUCGAUAAAAAAGAUUGCGACCUCGAUGUUGGAUUAAGGAAUAAGUUUAGGUGUAGAAGUUUAAAUUUUAAGUCUGUUCGACUUUUAAAUCCUUACAUGAUCUGAGUUCAAACCGGUGUAAGCCAGGUUGGUUUCUAUCUUUAAUAAAUUAAAAUAUUUUAGUACGAAAGGAUUAAAUAUUUAAAAUAAAGUUUUUAAAAAUUGAAUAUAAUUAAU